rnacentral:lncRNA from 1 species
CCGGGCCACGUCCACUUGUAUAUUUGUCCAUCUGAUGAGUUAAGCCAUUUUCAAUUGAUUUUUAUAGUUCGUUCUUAUAUUGUACUGUUAUACCAGGUUAGGGGAGGGUUGGGAUCCCGCUAACAUGUUUAACCCCGCCACAUUAUUUAUGUAUGUGCCUGUCCCAAGUCAGGAGCCUGUAAUUCAGUGGUUGUCGUUUGUUUAUGUGUUACAUAUUUGUUUUUCGUUCUUUUUUUACAUAAAUAAGGCCGUUAGUUUUCUCGUUUGAAUUGUUUUACAUUGUCUUAUCGGGGCCUUUUAUAGCUGACUAUGCGGUAUGGGCUUUGCUCAUUGAUGAAGGCCGUACGGUGACCUAUAGUUGUUAAUGUCUGUGUCAUUUUGGUCUUUUGUGGAUAGUUGUCUCAUUGGCAAUAAUACCACAUCUU